rnacentral:rRNA from 1 species
AGCAGCCGCGGUAAUUCCAGCUCCAAUAGCGUAUAUUAAAGUUGCUGCAGUUAAAAAGCUCGUAGUUGAAUUUCGGGACCAUCAUGUCGGUCGUGCCUCGGUACGUACUGGCAUUGUUGGUUUCUUCCUUCUGACGAACCAUGAUGUCAUUUACUUGGUGUCGUGGGAAAUCAGGACUGUUACUCUGAAAAAUUAGAGUGUUUAAAGCAGGCUCACGCUUGAAUACAUUAGCAUGGAAUAAUGAAAUAGGAUGUUUGAUUUCUAUUUUGUUGGUUUUUAGGAUCGACGUAAUGAUUAAUAGGGAUAGUUGGGGGCAUUAGUAUUCAAUUGUCAGAGGUGAAAUUCUUGGAUUUAUUGAAGACUAACUACUGCAAAAGCAUUUGCCAAGGAUGUUUUCAUUAAUCAAGAACGAAAGUUAGGGAUCGAAGACGAUCAGAUACCGUCGUAGUCUUAACCAUAAACUAUGCCGACUAGGAAUCAGAUGAUGUUAAUUUUUUAAUGACUCAUUC